CUUUCCUACGCUAAAAACCACUGAGUGGAGUAUUUAGUACACAGGAAGUCGGCCAGAGAAACAUUUCUCAUAUUUGAAGGCCGGAAAGAGGGACAUUUCUGACACCGGAAGUCAGUGAGAGGACUCUUUCCCACACAGGAAGUCAGCUAGAGAGCCGUCUCCCCUCUCUGGAGCCGAGAGAGGCCGGUUUCCCCCACCACUCUCAGGGUAAAGAAGGAAAUGAGAAAUUGCAAGACAGAGUAUUUCUUAGGCAAUGGCUGAGAAUGGCAACUCACCACAUGCCUUUGAAUAAGACGUGAUUAUUAUUAACCCAUAUUCUAUCAAAGAAGAAACUGAGGCUCAGAGAGGCAACUUACUUGCCAAAGGUCACUCUGCUGGUAGCCCACCUGGGAGGAAUUUUCCAGAGAUCACUGUCUGAUGACCCUGUCUUGGAAUUGGAGCCAUGCAAGUUACACUGACCACGUUUGGGUUGGGAUAUUGAGGAGGUUAUGGUUAAAAGCAUACGAUGGGAGAUCAUAUUGUACUUGCGAGUGAGACCCGGCUGGAGGAAUGUUUUAAUUCUUCGGAAAUACCAAGUGGUCUCUGGGGACCUUUGGCCAUGUCUUGAGAUGUUUUUGGUUGCCGUGAUUGAGGAGGUGCUACCAGCGUCUGCUGGGCAGAGACCAGGGAUGCUGCUCCACAUCCCACAAUGCACAGGACAAUCUUCUCUACAGCAAUGAAUUAUCCAGUUCACAAUCUCAAUAGCACCAAUAUUGAGAAACCCUGUUGAAGAUGGAGACUAUCCACGGGGCAUUGAUCUUGGGGUCUCCCCCUUCCUGAAUACUUGAAGUCCCUCGGCAGACUCUUGGAUACCUCCAGCAAUGGGGAGCUCACCACCUGUUUUGAAGCCAGGCAGGUUUGGGCUCUUCUUGUAGCUGUGUGACUCUGGAUUUUCCCAUAGGUGGGAGUGGAUCCACCACCUUGAGCUUCAGUUUCCUCCAGUGCCAUGGGAUUAGCAGCAGCCCUGCCUCACAGAUUGCGUGAGGAUGAAAUGAGAUGAUGCUCCUGAGUUGGCUGGUGCAGUGCACGGUACACAGAGAGUGCUCAAUAAAUGUUCCCUGCUGUGAA
rnacentral:lncRNA from 10 species